rnacentral:rRNA from 1 species
GUGAAAUUCCGUCGGAAUCUGGGAGGACCAUCUCCUAAGGCUAAAUACUCUCUAGUGACCGAUAGUGAACCAGUACCGUGAGGGAAAGGUGAAAAGCACCCCGGAAGGGGAGUGAAAUAGAACCUGAAACCGUGUGCUUACAAGUAGUCAGAGCCCGUUAAUGGGUGAUGGCGUGCCUUUUGUAGAAUGAACCGGCGAGUUACGAUUUGAUGCAAGGUUAAGCAGUAAAUGUGGAGCCGUAGCGAAAGCGAGUCUGAAUAGGGCGUUUAGUAUUUGGUCGUAGACCCGAAACCAGGUGAUCUACCCUUGGUCAGGUUGAAGUUCAGGUAACACUGAAUGGAGGACCGAACCGACUUACGUUGAAAAGUGAGCGGAUGAACUGAGGGUAGCGGAGAAAUUCCAAUCGAACCUGGAGAUAGCUGGUUCUCUCCGAAAUAGCUUUAGGGCUAGCCUCAAGUGAUGAUUAUUGGAGGUAGAGCACUGUUUGGACGAGGGGCCCCUCUCGGGUUACCGAAUUCAGACAAACUCCGAAUGCCAAUU